rnacentral:rRNA from 1 species
GUGGGGAAUAUUGGACAAUGGGCGCAAGACUGAUCCAGCCAUGCCGCGUGAGUGAUGAAGGCCUUAGGGUUGUAAAGCUCAUUCAGUGGGGACGAUAAUGACGGUACCCACAGAAGAAGCCCCGGCUAACUUCGUGCAAGCAGCCGCGGUAAUACGAAGGGGGCUAGCGUUGUUCGGAUUUACUGGGCGUAAAGCGCACGUAGGCGGAUCGGUAAGUCGGGGGUGAAAUCCUGGAGCUCAACUCCAGAACUGCCUUCGAUACUGGCGAUCUUGAGUCCGGAAGAGGUGAGUGGAACUCCUAGUGUAGAGGUGGAAUUCGUAGAUAUUAGGAAGAACACCAGUGGCGAAGGCGGCUCACUGGUCCGGUACUGACGCUGAGGUGCGAAAGCGUGGGGAGCAAACAGGAUUAGAAACCCGUGUAGUCC